GGAAAUUAAUUGUUUAAUAGGCAGAACGCAAGGAUUUCCCAAGAAAGUUGGAAUAUUGAUGGGUUGGAAAAUUAAAUAUUUCAGUGCGCCAUCAUUAAGACCAAUUUACGCCACUGGCCACAGGCCUCUGUUUUAGAUGGCACGUUUAGAAAUCAUAUUAUUAUUAUUCUAAUCGCUGUACGUAUGGGAUAAUAUCGCAUUGAUUACGGGAGAAAAAACGGAUAUGUAUUUCGAAAAUUGCAACACGGAAAAUAUGUUUGUAUACAUUUGAAUUCAUUCGUG